AGCCAUUUGUAUGAUUGUGCUGACCAGACAAAUGGCUAGAAGACUACACAAGAGGCAAUAAGAGCACCAUUUCUGAGUGCUUGGAACAUUUCAAGUGCUCCAACUCAGAAUGCAGUUGUUCUAUUCUGAGCUUGGAAGAGGCCCUUCAUUUGAAGGGCAUUCCAUUCCAAGCUUGAAACACUUGAAGCGGCCCAGUUCAUGAAUGAGCGAGGGGAUGAACAAUCGUGGGACUCCAUAUGGUAAAACUCUGGAAGACUCCAAAUCGUAGCUCUACACAGGUGCAAAACCCAGAUAUGUGAUGCGCAAAGACCCUGAUGAAGAAAUAUGUUUAUUAAUUUGUAUACAGUCCUAAUGUGAAUAAAUUAGGAACUAUG